rnacentral:rRNA from 1 species
GUAAAGGGCGCGUAGGCGGCCGAUUAAGUCGGGGGUGAAAGCCUGUGGCUCAACCACAGAAUUGCCUUCGAUACUGGUUGGCUUGAGACCGGAAGAGGACAGCGGAACUGCGAGUGUAGAGGUGAAAUUCGUAGAUAUUCGCAAGAACACCAGUGGCGAAGGCGGGUCUCUGGGCAGUAACUGACGCUGAGGAGCGAAAGCGUGGGGAGCGAACAGGAUUAGAUACCCUGGUAGUCCACGCCGUAAACGGUGGGUACUAGGUGUGGGUUUCCUUCCUUGGGAUCCGUGCCGUAGCUAACGCAUUAAGUACCCCGCCUGGGGAGUACGGCCGCAAGGCUAAAACUCAAAGAAAUUGACGGGGGCCCGCACAAGCGGCGGAGCAUGUGGAUUAAUUCGAUGCAACGCGAAGAACCUUACCUGGGUUUGACAUGCACAGGACGCCGGCAGAGAUGUCGGUUCCCUUGUGGCCUGUGUGCAGGUGGUGCAUGGCUGUCGUCAGCUCGUGUCGUGAGAUGUUGGGCUAAGUCCCGCAACGAGCGCAACCCUUGUCUCAUGUUGCCAGCGGGUAAUGCCGGGGACUCGUGAGAGACUGCCGGGGUCAACUCGGAGGAAGGUGGGGAUGACGUCAAGUCAUCAUGCCCCUUAUGUCCAGGGCUUCACACAUGCUACAAUGGCCGGUACAAAGGGCUGCGAUGCCGCGAGGUUAAGCGAAUCCUUUUAAAGCCGGUCUCAGUUCGGAUCGGGGUCUGCAACUCGACCCCGUGAAGUCGGA